CCUACGGGGGGCUGCAGUGAGGAAUAUUGGUCAAUGGGCGGAAGCCUGAACCAGCCAAGCCGCGUGAGGGAUUGAGGCCCUAUGGGUCGUAACCCUCUUUUGUCAGGGAGCAAGGUCGUCCACGUGUGGGCGUAUGGAGAGUACCUGAAGAAAAAGCAUCGGCUAACUCCGUGACAGCAGCCGCGGUAAUACGGAGGAUGAGAGUGUUAUACGGAUUUAGUGGGUUUAAGGGGUGCGUAGGCGGGACCUUAAGUCAGCGGUAAAAUUGCGGUGCUCAAGGCCGUAGAGCCGUUGAAACUGGGGCUCUUGAGUGAGCGAGAAGUAUGCGGAAUGCGUGGUGUAGCGGUGAAAUGCAUAGAUAUCACGCAGAACCCCGAUUGCGAAGGCAGCAUACCGGCGCUCAACUGACGCUGAGGCACGAAAGUGCGGGUAUCGAACAGGAUUAGAUACCCUUGUAGUC
rnacentral:rRNA from 1 species